rnacentral:rRNA from 2 species
UACGUAGGGGGCAAGCGUUGUCCGGAAUUAUUGGGCGUAAAGGGCGCGUAGGCGGAUUGUUAAGUCUGGUGUGAAAACCCAGGGCUCAACCCUGGGGCUGCAUUGGAAACUGGCAAUCUUGAGUGCAGGAGAGGAAAGUGGAAUUCCACGUGUAGCGGUGAAAUGCGUAGAUAUGUGGAGGAACACCAGUGGCGAAGGCGACUUUCUGGACUGUAACUGACGCUGAGGCGCGAAAGCGUGGGGAGCAAACAGG